rnacentral:rRNA from 1 species
GACGAACGCUGGCGGCGUGCUUAACACAUGCAAGUCGAACGAUGAAGCCUAGCUUGCUAGGUGGAUUAGUGGCGAACGGGUGAGUAAUACGUGAGUAACCUACCUUUAACUCUGGGAUAAGCCUGGGAAACUGGGUCUAAUACCGGAUACGACCGAUCUCCGCAUGGGGUGUUGGUGGAAAGCGUUAUGUAGUGGUUAUAGAUGGGCUCACGGCCUAUCAGCUUGUUGGUGAGGUAACGGCUCACCAAGGCGACGACGGGUAGCCGGCCUGAGAGGGUGACCGGCCACACUGGGACUGAGACACGGCCCAGACUCCUACGGGAGGCAGCAGUGGGGAAUAUUGCACAAUGGGCGCAAGCCUGAUGCAGCGACGCCGCGUGAGGGAUGACGGCCUUCGGGUUGUAAACCUCUGUUAGCAGGGAAGAAGAGAAAUUGACGGUACCUGCAGAGAAAGCGCCGGCUAACUACGUGCCAGCAGCCGCGGUAAUACGUAGGGCGCGAGCGUUGUCCGGAAUUAUUGGGCGUAAAGAGCUUGUAGGCGGUUUGUCGCGUCUGCUGUGAAAGGCCGGGGCUUAACCCCGUGUAUUGCAGUGGGUACGGGCAGACUAGAGUGCAGUAGGGGAGACUGGAAUUCCUGGUGUAGCGGUGGAAUGCGCAGAUAUCAGGAGGAACACCGAUGGCGAAGGCAGGUCUCUGGGCUGUAACUGACGCUGAGAAGCGAAAGCAUGGGGAGCGAACAGG